AAUAUUGCACAAUGGUGAGAACUCUGAUGCAGCGAAGCCGCGUGAGCGAUGAAGGCCUACGAGUCGUGAAGCUCUGUCCAAAGGGACGAUAAUGACGGUACCAAAGGAGGAAGCUCCGGCUAACUACAUGCCAUCAGCCGCGGUAAUACGUAGGGGGCGAGCGUUGGCCGGAAUUACUGGGCGUAAAGGGUACGGAGGCUGCCAUGUAAGUCAGAUGUGAAAGAAUAGGGCUUAAGCUUAGCAAGCAUUUGAAACUGUGUGGCUUGAGUUAAGGAGAGGAAAGUGGAAUUCCUGAUGUAGCGGUGAAAUGCGUAGAUAUCAGGAGGAAUACCAGUGGCGAAGGCGACUUUCUGGCCUUAAACUGACGCUGAGGUACGAAAGCGUGGGGAGCAAACA
rnacentral:rRNA from 1 species